rnacentral:tRNA from 1 species
GCACCUAUAGCUCAAUAGGAUAGAGUGCUAGACACCGAAUCUAGAGGUAGGGGGUUCGAAUCCCUCUAGGUGCA